GUCGGCGUCGUCACCGUCCAGCCGACCACCGUGCCCGUCGUGGCCGAACUGCCGGGCCGCACGAGCGCCUUCCUGAAUGCACAGGUGCGCGCGCGGGUCGACGGCAUCGUGCUGCGCCGCGAAUUCACCGAAGGCUCCGAUGUGAAGGCCGGCCAGCGCCUUUACAAGAUCGA
rfam:Burkholderia humi Vandamme et al. 2013 isolate LMG 22934 genome assembly, contig: contig000027